rnacentral:rRNA from 1 species
AACGAACGCUGGCGGCAUGCCUAACACAUGCAAGUCGAACGAGACCUUCGGGUCUAGUGGCGCCCGGUUUCGUAACGCGUGGGAACCUUCCCUUAUGUUCGGAAUAACUCCCCGAAAGGGGUGCUAAUACCGGAUAAUGUCUUCUGACCAAAGAUUUAUCGCCUUUGGAUGGGCCCGCGUUGGAUUAGCUCGUUGUUAGGGUAAAAGCGUACCAAGGCGACGAUCCAUAGCUGGUCAGAGAGGAUGAUCAGCCACACUGGGACUGAGACACGGCCUAGACUCCUACGGGAGGGAGCAGUGGGGAAUAUUGGAAAAGGGGCGAAAGCCUGAAACAGCAAUGCAGCGUGAGUGAUGAAGACCAGAGGGUUGUAAAGGUCUUUUAACCGGGAUGAUAAUGACAGUACCGGGAGAAUAAGCUCAGGCUAAAUCAGUG